AUGACGUCGCUGAGGCUGCGGCGGCUCAGUGUUUCCCGCGUGGGUACCCCUGCUCCGCUGGUCCUUGGACUGCUUCCCAUGGUCCCCUAGGAAUCAAGUAAGGAAGGAGAGCGAAGAAAUAGGACCUGCCUCUGUUCCUCUGCACGCUGUGACCCCCACCUGGUGCCUGUAGGCGGUGUCCUGGGCCUUGGGUGCCUUUCACACGAGGGAAACAGAGGCAAAGUAAGGGUUAGCCGAGGUCACGCCCGGACUAGGGCCGAACAGAUGGGGAGUCCACCAAGCUUGAAGAGCCCGCCGGGUUUACAGGGUCCGACGGCGACGCUCGCUGGGAGGGACGCAGGAGUGGAAAUGAGUCCCCGCUGAGCCUGGAGUGGCAAAUCUGCACGACUGAAUCAGAGUCCUGGAUUCUUAAACCCUAUAAGCCUCCAUUCCUCCACACUCCAGCCAGAACCACUUCACAGCACAGGAAUACGCCCCUUUGGAGGCAAUCCCACCCUCCAAGUUUAUCUGAGAGAACAACAUAAAGAUUCUCCCUCCUAAAUAUGAGCCCCAGGACUUGCUCUGGGCCAGGCCACCACUCACCAUCCCCUGGGUAUAUUCAGCCCAGAUCCCUCCCCAGAACCCAAUAGGUCACGUGACACUUGGGACACCUCAGGGUUACCAUGUACAAAAUCUAGUCCCCGAAACGGGCUCCCUGCACUGAAUCCCCCAGCUCCACUCUUGCAGGUGUUCAGGAAACAAGAAGCAAAAGUGCAAACCAAAAAUCCCUACUUUUUCAGAGCGACGUCUGGUGCGGUAAGAAAUCCUGUCUGUUGAGUUUUUAAAACCCAUUGGAGAGUUGAUCAUUCCUCCCCGUCUCUAACCACCAGCAAAAGCCCAGCCCCCCGCCCCCGAACUAUUAGUCUGUCGUACUGACUUCCUAUAGGGAGACCUUUCAUCACCCCCAUCCCAGUCUGUUUUUCCCUGAGAAGCCUUUGGAAAACUGAAACAUAGGUUGAGCCCUCCGUUUAGUCACAACCCUUCGCGGCCACCAGCAGCCUCAGAACGAAGGUCCCCGCUGCUCGCGCUGCCUUUUCACGUGUGUCUCGUCCCCUCAGAAGCGGCUCUGUGCGCAGCUGAGACAGACCUCGAGGUAAGACUCCGAGUGGAGUAACUGCCCCAAGGCUUUGAUUUUGCCGGUCCCUCGGCCUGUAAGCCCCUGCCACACCCCAUCACACUCGCUGGCAGAAAUGGGGACCCCCACCCACAUGCUCCUACAGACCUGGGCCCAGGUGCUUGAGCAGGGGACGGUCAGCGGGCCCUUGAGUGUCCGAGGGGCUGAGCGUCUAGAGGACGAGCGUUUACCUGAACCGGGACCCUCCGCGCGGCCGCCGCCAUCGGAGUCUGAGGGCUGAGAGGGGCGGGGAGCGGAGGACCAGGUCGGGACCCAGGCAUCCCUGCCCCCGACCCAGAAUCGGGUUACCCUCGGCGUCGCUGCCGAACGCCAGCACCGCCUUUGUGCGUUGAAGACAACGGCUGCCUCCUCUCGAGCCUUCUUGCUCUCGUGCCCCAAGCUCAACACCAGGUUUCCGGAGGCUCUAAUCGGGAGGACGGACCCUAAGGCGACGCCGGAAGUCCCGCCCAUCGGGUUCCACACACUUUAACGUCUGUUUUCUUGGCGGAGCUUUUAGCAGCCUCGGAGAGCAGCGCCUGCUGGAUAAUGUAGUUCCCAUGUCGCCAAACGUGGAGAGAGUGGACCGCUGCAGAGAAGGCGGUGGGAAAGAAAUUAGGGUCCGGAAUUCGGCCAGAUUGUCAUCUAGAGACUUUAUUGUAGGUGCCCCUGUAUUUCAAUGUCCCUGCACAGUUGGUGCUCCAAUCUUUCCUCCUCUUGAAGGAUUUAAGGGAUCUUGACCACAAUAAAGCCGUUUCCCGGGAACAAAGCA